AUGAACGCUAGCGGCAGGCCUAACACAUGCAAGUCGAGGGGCAGCACAGGUAGCAAUACUGGGUGGCGACCGGCGGAUGGGUGCGUAACGCGUAUGCAACCUACCAUUGAUUGGGGCAUAGCCCGAAGAAAUUCGGAUUAAUACUCCAUAAUAUUCAUCAAAGGCAUCUUUUAUGAAUUAAAGCUUUUGCGAUCAAUGAUGGGCAUGCGUGACAUUAGUUAGUUGGUGAGGUAACGGCUCACCAAAACGAUGAUGUCUAGGGGUUCGUGAGAGGAUUAUCCCCCACACUGGUACUGAGACACGGACCAGACUCCUACGGGAGGCAGCAGUGAGGAAUAUUGGUCAAUGGACGCAAGUCUGAACCAGCCAUGCCGCGUGCAGGAUGACGGCCCUAUGGGUUGUAAACUGCUUUUCCACGGGAAGAACCCUCCGACGUGUCGGAGACUGACGGUACCGUGGGAAUAAGCAUCGGCUAACUCCGUG
rnacentral:rRNA from 1 species